rnacentral:rRNA from 1 species
AGCGAACGUUUGCGGCGGGCUUAACACAUGCAAGUCGAACGAGAAUCCCUUCGGGGAGGAAAGUGGCGCACGGGUGCGUAACACGUGGAUAACCAACCCAUUGGUUUGGGACAACACCGGGAAACUGGUGCUAAUACCAGAUGUGUCGCAGCUGUCUUCAGGCGGUUGCGAGAAAGGCCCGCAAGGGUCGCCAACGGACGGGUCCGCGUCCCAUCAGCUAGUUGGUGAGGUAAUGGCUCACCAAGGCAAAGACGGGUAGCUGGUCUGAGAGGAUGAUCAGCCACACUGGAACUGAGACACGGUCCAGACUCCUACGGGAGGGCAGCAGUGGGGAAUAUUGCGCAAUGGGCGAAAGACCUGACGCAGCCACGCCG